UACAGAGGUCCCAAGCGUUGUUCGGAUUCACUGGGCGUAAAGGGUGCGUAGGUGGUCGGGUAAGUCUGAUGUGAAAGCUCGGAGCUCAACUCCGAAAUGGCAUUGGAUACUAUCCGGCUAGAGGAUCGGAGGGGGGACUGGAAUUCUCGGUGUAGCAGUGAAAUGCGUAGAUAUCGAGAGGAACACCAGUGGCGAAGGCGAGUCCCUGGACGACUCCUGACACUGAGGCACGAAAGCUAGGGGAGCAAACAGG
rnacentral:rRNA from 1 species